rnacentral:rRNA from 1 species
ACGAACGCUGGCGGCGUGCUUAACACCUGCAAGUCGCACGCUGAAGCUUGGUGCUUGCACUGGGUGGAUGAGUGGCGAACGGGUGAGUAAUACGUGAGUAACCUGCCCUUGACUCUGGGAUAAGCCUGGGAAACUGGGUCUAAUACUGGAUACGACAUGUCACCGCAUGGUGGCGUGUGGAAAGGGUUUUACUGGUUUUGGAUGGGCUCACGGCCUAUCAGCUUGUUGGUGGGGUAAUGGCUCACCAAGGCGACGACGGGUAGCCGGCCUGAGAGGGUGACCGGCCACACUGGGACUGAGACACGGCCCAGACUCCUACGGGAGGCAGCAGUGGGGAAUAUUGCACAAUGGGCGAAAGCCUGAUGCAGCGACGCCGCGUGAGGGAUGACGGCCUUCGGGUUGUAAACCUCUUUCAGCACGGAAGAAGCGAAAGUGACGGUACGUGCAGAAGAAGCGCCGGCUAACUACGUG